GGGGGAUAUUGCGCAAUGGGGGAAACCCUGACGCAGCAACGCCGCGUGAAGGAAGAAGGCCUUCGGGUCGUAAACUUUUGUCUUCUGGGACGAAAUUUGACGGUACCAGAGGAGGAAGCCACGGCUAACUACGUGCCAGCAGCCGCGGUAAUACGUAGGUGGCGAGCGUUGUCCGGAAUUACUGGGUGUAAAGGGCGCGUAGGCGGGACUGCAAGUCAGAUGUGAAAUACCGGGGCUCAACUCCGGGGCUGCAUUUGAAACUGUAGUUCUUGAGUGCAGGAGAGGGAAGCGGAAUUCCUAGUGUAGCGGUGAAAUGCGUAGAGAUUAGGAGGAACACCAGUGGCGAAGGCGGCUUUCUGGACUGUAACUGACGCUGAGGCGCGAAAGCGUGGGGAGCGAAC
rnacentral:rRNA from 1 species